AACGAACGCUGGCGGCAGGCCUCAAACAUGCAAGUCUAGGGGGUGCAGCAAUGCAUCACCGGCGGACGGGUGCGUAACGCGUGGGAAUAUACCUUUUGGUUCGGAACAACUGCGGGAAACUGCAGCUAAUACCGAAUGUGCCCUAACGGGGAAAGAUUUAUCGCCAAAGGAUUAGCCCGCGUAGGAUUAGCUAGUUGGUGAGGUAAUGGCUCACCAAGGCUCCGAUCCUUAGCUGCUUGAGAGGAAGAUCAGCCACACUGGGACUGAGACACGGCCCAGACUCCUACGGGAGGCAGCAGUUGGGAAUCUUGGACAAUGGGGGAACCCUGAUCCAGCCAUGCCGCGUGAGUGAUGAAGGCCUUCGGUU
rnacentral:rRNA from 1 species